rnacentral:ncRNA from 1 species
CAAAGGCUUGGUCCUGACUUUGCUAUCAGUUUUAGCCUAAUUUACACAUGCAAGUAUCCGCCCCCCCGUGAGAAUGCCCUUUAGUCCCCUGCCCGGGGAAAAGGAGCCGGUAUCAGGCACUACCAACUGAAGCCCACGACACCUUGCCCACAGCCACACCCUCAAGGGAAUUCAGCAGUGAUAAAUAUUAAGCAAUAAGUGAAAACUUGACUUAGAUAGGGCUAAUUAAGGGCCGGUAAACCUCGUGCCAGCCACCGCGGUUAUACGAAGGGCCCAAAUUGAUAGCCAUCGGCGUAAAGGGUGGUUAAGAUUAUAUUCAAAUAAAGCCAAAUGCCUUCUAGGCUGUAAUAAGCAUCCGAAGAUAAGAGGCUCAACUACGAAAGUGGCUUUACAAAAUCUGACCCCACGAAAGCUGGGGCACAAACUGGGAUUAGAUACCCCACUAUGCCUAGCCGUAAACAAUGACAAUGUACCACCCCCCAUUGUCCGCCCGGGAACUAAAAGCACGAGCUUGAAACCCAAAGGACUUGGCGGUGCUUAAAAUCCACCUAGAGGAGCCUGUUCUAGAACCGAUAACCCCCGUUCAACCUCACCCUUUCUUGUUAUCCCCGCCUAUAUACCGCCGUCGUCAGCUUACCCUGUGAAGGCCUAAUAGUAAGCAAAAUUGGCACAGCCCAAAACGUCAGGUCGAGGUGUAGCGUAUGAGAGGGGAAGAAAUGGGCUACAUUCCCUAACAAAGCGAAUACGAAUAGUACAUUGAAAACUGUACUUGAAGGAGGAUUUAGUAGUAAGCAAAAAAUAGAGCGUUAUGCUGAAACUGGCCCUUAAGCGCGCACACACCGCCCGUCACUCUCCCCAAGCUGACAGGUCUUUAUUCUCUAAAACCUUAUAAACAGCAAAGGGGAGGCAAGUCGUAACAUGGUAAGUGUACCGGAAGGUGCACUUGGAAAAGC